rnacentral:rRNA from 1 species
GUGAGGAAUUUUCCGCAAUGGGCGAAAGCCUGACGGAGCAAUGCCGCGUGAAGGAUGAAGGCCUAUGGGUUGUAAACUUCUUUUCUUAGAGAAGAAUAUUGACGGUAUCUGAGGAAUAAGCAUCGGCUAACUCUGUGCCAGCAGCCGCGGUAAGACAGAGGAUGCAAGCGUUAUCCGGAAUGAUUGGGUUUAAAGGGUCCGCAGGCGGGAUUGUAAGUCAGUGGUGAAAUCCGGCAGCUCAACUGUCGCACUGCCAUUGAUACUGCAGUCCUUGAAUUCGAUUGGAGUGGGCGGAAUAUGUCAUGUAGCGGUGAAAUGCUUAGAUAUGACAUAGAACACCGAUAGCGAAGGCAGCUCACUAAGUCUGAAUUGACGCUCAUGGACGAAAGCGCGGGUAGCAAACAGGAUUAGAAACCCUGGUAGUCC